AACGAACGCUGGCGGCAUGCCUAACACAUGCAAGUCGAACGAAUGCUUCGGCCUUAGUGGCGCACUGGUGCGUAACGCGUUGGAAUCUGCCUUUUGGUUCGGAAUAUCAUCUGGAAACGGCUGCUAAUACCGGCUGUUAUCGAAAGUCCAAAGAUUUAUCGCCAGAGGAUGAGCCGGCGUUGGAUUAGGUUGUUGUUGGGGUAAAGGCCUACCAAGCCGACGAUCCGUAGCUGGUCUGUGAGGAUGCUCAGCCACACUGGGCCGGAGACACGGCCCAGACUAUUACGGGAGGAAGCAGUGGGGAAUAUUGGAAAAUGGGCGGAAGGAUGAACCAGCAAGGAUGGGUGAGUGAUGAAGGUUGGGGGGUUGGAAAGCAAUUUUACACGGGAAGAUAAUGACGGUACCGGGAGAAUAAGCCCCGGCUAACUCCGUG
rnacentral:rRNA from 1 species